AGGCAAUUUCCAGUGGGACUCCAUAGAGAAAGCAUCCUAGCAAUGUGCUAGAAUGCAUCCCGGUGAACAUGAAAGGAAGCUGGAUGGUGAUACUUCCUCCCGUGAAAUGAGAGUACAAGUAGCACUGACAUACAUUGAAUUGGAGCAGAGCCAAUCACCUGAAAUUAAUACUAAGAGACAGUGGCAUAUUUGAAACAACAUACUACAUUUGAAGAACGAGAAGAAAUAGAGACUAUUGUUAAAAGAAGAACAAGACAUUCAGACUGUGAGUAUAUGCAGACGAUGUCAUUUGCAUUGUUGAAAACCCGUUAAAGAAUAUUAACGCCUGGCUGGAAAAAUUGAAAAAUUUGGAAAAAUAGCUGGCUUCAAAUUAAACAAACAAACAAAAAACCAAAAUAUUAACUAAAAGUGUGGAUGGAAAGGCAAAGGAGCAGCUAGAGAUCAAAACAGAGAUCAAAUUAGAGAACAAAAUAGAGAACAAAAUAAAAUAUUUGGGAGUGAUAUUGACCUCUAGUAAUGCUAAAGGUAAAGGUAAAUGCUAAGAAAAAUAAUUAUGAAUGACUGUAGAUAAAGAUACAAAAAGACUUGGAAAAAUUGAAACAUCAAAACAUCUCUUUAUUAGGCCUUAUUGCAAUAAUCAACAUGGAUUUACCAAAAACAAGUCAUGCCAGACUAAUCUGAUCUCUUUUUUCGAUAGAGUUACGAGUUGGGUCGAUACAGGGAACGCUGUGGAUGUAGCCUACCUGGAUUUCAGUAAGGCCUUUGACAAAGUCCCCCAAGACCUUCUGGCAAACAAACUAGUAAAAUGUGGGCUAGACAAAACUAAGGUUAGGUGGAUCUGUAAUUGGCUAAGCGAACGAACCCAAAAGGUACUCACCAAUGCAUCGUCUUCAUCUUGGAAAGAAGUGACAAGUGGAGUGCCGCAUGGUUCCAUCCUGGGCCCAGUUCUUUAUUAACGACUUGGACGAAGGGUUAGAAGGCACGAUCAUGAAGUUUGCAGAUGACACCAAACUGGGAGGGAUAGCUAACACUCCAGAAGACAGGAGCAGAAUUCAAAACGAUCUUAACAGACUAGAGAGAUGGGCCGAAACUAACAAAAUGAAGUUCAACAGGGACUCUCUCCCCUGGACUGUGGUGGAGGCUCCUUCUUUUAAGGCUUUUAAGCAGAGGCUGGAUGGCCAUCUGUCGGGGGUGCUUUGAAUGCGAUUUCCUGCUUCUUGGCAGGGGGUUGGACUGGAUGGCCCAUGAGGUCUCUUCCAACUCUACUAUUCUAUGAUUCUAUGAGUCAAAAUGAAUUUUGCCUCAGUUACUAUUUCUAUUCCAAACGUUACCAAUAAUUAGAAAUGAUUAUCUUUUCAAAAAAUAGAAUUCGGACAUAACGAAAUUUAUAUGGAAUAACAAAAAAAAAAAACAA